rnacentral:rRNA from 1 species
UACGUAGGGUCCGAGCGUUGUCCGGAAUUACUGGGCGUAAAGAGCUCGUAGGUGGUUUGGCGCGUUGUUCGUGAAAACUCACAGCUCAACUGUGGGCGUGCGGGCGAUACGGGCAGACUUGAGUACUGCAGGGGAGACUGGAAUUCCUGGUGUAGCGGUGGAAUGCGCAGAUAUCAGGAGGAACACCGGUGGCGAAGGCGGGUCUCUGGGCAGUAACUGACGCUGAGGAGCGAAAGCGUGGGGAGCGAACAGG